rnacentral:rRNA from 1 species
GACAGAGGGUGCAAACGUUGCUCGGAAUCACUGGGCGUAAAGGGCGUGUAGGCGGGAAGGAAAGUCGGGCGUGAAAUCCCUGGGCUCAACCCAGGAACUGCACUCGAAACUUCUUUUCUUGAGUGCCGGAGAGGAAAGCGGAAUACCUGGUGUAGAGGUGAAAUUCGUAGAUAUCAGGUGGAAACACCAGUGGGCGAAGGCGGCUUUCUGGACGGGUAACUGA